rnacentral:lncRNA from 1 species
CACAUCUCUGCGAUUUGAAAAGGAGCAACUUGGAAGAGUCUGAUUUCCUGCUUGACGUCUGGCUGCAUUUUGUCAGACUUGAAUCGUUCGGUGGAGGAGAACCGUAGAAAACUGUUCAAGGUAAGGCUGAAUUUUUUUUUUUUUUUGUCCGAGAUUCCAACUCCGGCUGGUGGCCAAAACCAAUCUAACUGCUCGGAAGAGACCUAACAAACAGUUCGUUUCGCUGAGUUCUAGGCGAAUGCGGCCAGUGCCUCCGUAUUACUGGACCGUAUUUAGACAAAUUGCGUAAUAAAAGACUCCAGCCAGUAUGCGUGCGGCCCUCC